rnacentral:rRNA from 1 species
UGCAUAUCAAUAAGCGGAGGAAAAGAAACCAACAGGGAUUGCCUUAGUAACGGCGAGUGAAGCGGCAACAGCUCAAAUUUGAAAUCUGGCCCCAGGCCCGAAUUGUAAUUUGUAGAGGAUGCUUUUGGUGCGGUACCUUCCGAGUUCCCUGGAACGGGACGCCUUAGAGGGUGAGAGCCCCGUACGGUUGGAUGCCUAGCCUCUGUAAAGCUCCUUCGACGAGUCGAGUAGUUUGGGAAUGCUGCUCUAAAUGGGAGGUAAAUUUCUUCUAAAGCUAAAUACCGGCCAGAGACCGAUAGCGCACAAGUAGAGUGAUCGAAAGAUGAAAAGCACUUUGAAAAGAGGGUUAAAUAGUACGUGAAAUUGUUGAAAGGGAAGCGCUUAUGACCAGACUUUUGCCCUGCGGAUCAUCUGGUGUUCUCACCAGUGCACUUCGCUUGGUUUAGGCCAGCGUCGAUUUUGGUAGGGGGAUAAAGGCUCGGGAAACGUGGCUCUUCCGGGAGUGUUAUAGUCCCCUGCGUAAUACCCUUACCGGGAUCGAGGUUCGCGCUCUGCAAGGACGCUGGCAUAAUGGUCAUCAGUGACCCGUCUUGAAACACGGACCA